ACGGCUCAGUAACACGUGGGUAACCUGCCCUAUGCUGGAUAAUAACCUCGGGAAACUGAGAAUAAUGAUCCAUAGUUCACUACGCCUGGAACGGUGAGUGGAUGAAAGCUCCGGCGGCAUAGGAUGGGCCUGCGGCGUACCAGGUUGUAGGGGGUGUAACGUACCCUCUAGCCCUCUACGCGUACGGGUGUUGGGAGACAUAGCCCGGAGAUGGAUUCUGAGACACGAAUCCAGACCCUACGGGGUGCAGCAGGCGCGAAAACUUGGCAAUGCGAGAAAUCGUGACCAGGGAACUCCAAGUGCAUCGGGUAAGACCGGUGCUUUUCUUGACUCUAAAUAGGUCUUGGAAUAAGGGGUGGGUAAGGACGGUGCCAGCCGCCGCGGUAAUACCGGCGCCUCAAGUGGUAGUCGCUUUUAUUGGGCCUAAAACGUCCGUAGCCGGUCUGAUACAUUCGUGGGUAAAUCAACCAGCUUAACUGGUUGAAUUCUGCGAGGACGGUCAGACUUGGGACCGGGAGAGGUGUGGGGUACGCUCAGGGUAGGGGUAAAGUCCUGUCAUCCUGAGCGGACCACCUGUUGCGAAGGCGCCACACUAGAACGGAUCCGACGGUCAGGGACGAAGCCUAGGGGCACGAACCGGAUUAGAUACCCGGGUAGUCCUAGGUGUAAACGCUGUGGACUUGAUGUUGGGGGUGCUCCGAGCACUCUCAGUGUCGAAGCGAAGGUGAUAAGUCCACUGCCUGGGAAGUACGGUCGCAAGGCUGAAACUUAAAGGAAUUGGCGGGGGAGCAC
rnacentral:rRNA from 1 species